CCUACGGGAGGCACCAGUGGGGAAUAUUGCACAAUGGGCGCAAGCCUGAUGCAGCCAUGCCGCGUGUAUGAAGAAGGCCUUCGGGUUGUAAAGUACUUUCAGCGGGGAGGAAGGUGUUGCGGUUAAUAACCGCAGCAAUUGACGUUACCCGCAGAAGAAGCACCGGCUAACUCCGUGCCAGCAGUCGCGGUAAUACGGAGGGUGCAAGCGUUAAUCGGAAUUACCGGGCGUAAAGCGCACGCAGGCGGUCUGUCAAGUCGGAUGUGAAGUCCCCGGGCUCAACCUGGGAACUGCAUUCGAAACUGGCAGGCUAGAGUCUUGUAGAGGGGGGUAGAAUUCCAGGUGUAGCGGUGAAAUGCGUAGAGAUCUGGAGGAAUACCGGUGGCGAAGGCGGCCCCCUGGACGAAGGCUGACGCUCAGGUGCGAAAGCGUGGGGAGCAAACAGGAUUAGAUACCCCAGUAGUC
rnacentral:rRNA from 1 species